rnacentral:rRNA from 1 species
UACGUAGGGUGCAAGCGUUGUCCGGAAUUAUUGGGCGUAAAGAGCGUGUAGGCGGCUCGAUUAGUCCGCUGUGAAAGUCCAGGGCUCAACCCUGGAAUGCCGGUGGAUACUGUCGAGCUAGAGUCCGGAAGGGGCGAGUGGAAUUCCUGGUGUAGCGGUGGAAUGCGCAGAUAUCAGGAAGAACACCAACGGCGAAGGCAGCUCGCUGGGACGGUACUGACGCUGAGACGCGAAAGCGUGGGGAGCGAACAGG